AUACAUGAUAGGAAUAUGAUUUUGGUUUCCACGUGAUUAGAGAGUUUUCCCAUGGCUGGAAGGAAAACCACGCUUGCACCAAAAUUGCUCUCCCAUUAGAUGAUCCGUCUUAUCCACGUUAACAGAUAACGGAAGAGGUAAUGAUACAAGUCUAUAUCAUUGCAAACAGGGUGGUACCGCGAUUUUACUGAAAUCGUCCCUGUG
rnacentral:ncRNA from 1 species